AUCCGACUCCUGCAUUGAUCUGUGAUGCGUUGACGAAAAGCGAGUUGUGCUUCUUUCGUUGUGUGUGUGUGCGUUUGUGUGCACUCUGAUAUGAUUCAGCCUUUGGGUUAGCAACACAGAAAAUAAUGAAUGGCCAUUCGUUAUCCCUGCAAAAAGAAGUGAGACUGCCCAGCCCAGUGCAACACACAUGCACAAGCAAACGCACACAGGCAAGUACACACACACACACACACAGUAAGCAAAAGAAGAAAUGAAGAGAGACAGGAAAGGGGUGUCAUCGCGCUGUGCUUUCAGUAUGAUUUUCCAGUCACUAUAAAUCCCAGGAGAAUAACAGCAGAGAAACAAGUAAACUUGACUUUGUUGGUUGUUUUUCACAAACACGAGAGUCAGUUUUAGAGGGAUGCAGCAGAUGUUGAUGCUUAUUAACACUGCCUCAAGCUCAAACAGUGGUGGAAUCUCUAGCUAUGGGAUUCUUUAAAAUUUGUAAUUGAUAUCAGAUAGAUUUCUAGGAUUAAGGCUACCAUGUUUCUGACCUCAAUCCCUAACCCCCUAGCCUACACGUAGGCCUCCAAAAUGUAUAGCCCCUACCUGAUCCUGAAGGACCUCUAUCUGUAUUCACUUUGGGUCUCUUUCAAUAAAGGGCCUUGCUAUGAAAAUACUUAGUAUAGUCUCAAACAAUUUCCAUCAUAGCAGUGGUAAGAUUUAACCACUAACAUGUGACAUGAAGUUACGUCAAAGUUUAUUUAUGUAAUGCGCUAUAAUUAUUUGUGAGUUAUUUGCAAAUCACACGCAAUGUUAUUUUUUAUGACUUUUAAACAGCUCAGUGGUUGAAACCACAUUUUUCUUCUUAUUUUCUAACAAGUACCUCCAAGUGGACGCACAAAAGACAACCUGUCCAACAUCAUCAUCCUCUGUUCAGUAGGAAAGCCAUCAAUCAUGCGUUGCUGGAAAGUUAGCAAGGCAAUAUUACGGGAACAGUCCUUUUCUCAUCACACAAAGCUCUCAUGGAGCCCAAUCAAACGAUUCCACGUUAUUAACAUUAAUCCGGUUAGGCCGAUUCCCUCGGGUCUCUGAUCGCCCUGACCCCAAACCACCUCAGUUUACUGUCAGAGUAAGUCAUCCCUGUGACGGCGUAGCACAAGGCCUCGCCUCGGUUGAUCUCAGCCCAGCCGCCGAAACCACAGCUGCCUUCGGCGAUGGUCAUGUGCAAAUAUAUAAGCCGGCGUUGUGCUGUCAUUACGCCGAGGCCCUCGCUCCCGUUCAUCUCGGAUUAAUCUCACAGAGUGGUUCUUGUGUUGGGUCUCGUGUGACUCAGCGAAUUGGCCGGCCCGCUCCUUCCCCUCGGCCAGACAGGUGUGGUGGCGUCUCUGGAAAAGCUCCUCUCGUUUUCGGCCCCUCCGCCCCACUGAGCAGCAUGUCCCCGGUACCGUCAAUAGGUGUGUGUCCCCAGGAGCGACCUCGGGUCAUGUCCAUUUGAUAUGUCCAGCCCUUGAUCAACGUCACGUCUCAAACUGCCUCACAGGCCAGAUGCUUCACACGCCAGUCGACACCCCCCGAAACUCUAAGCCCUCUGAGGGGCAAGGGGAACACUCUAAAUCAUCAAGGAACAAACCUUGAGAGACGAUAUAAAUAAACACCUCUGGAGGAUCGUGUUUAAUAUUCUCAACGCUGGUCGUUCUCUUAGCAUUCGGCUCUGUCUUUCUUGAAUCCCCUGGUUCUUGUGACACGGCACAGGCUAGCGCUCGAUGCCGGUCAGGCAUCACGUCGUUGAGGUUUCUGUCGCGGUUUAGGCUUUCAGGAUUCAGGCUGAGAUAACACGUCUGGAUUUUUUUAGUUCAUGAAUAUUAGCACUGAAAGACUUGACAGAAGUCGCCCAUUAAAUGCUGUGAAGAAAAAAACUUUGAGCAGUGCAGGUCGAAAAGCCAUAAAUAAAUCUUUGUUGAUGCUGCACAGCAUGAAUAAUUCUUCUUGUACUAGGCCUUGGACUUAUGGAUCAUUUAGUGAAGCAGUUAAUCAAUGAACACCAUAUACAAUAUGCUUUUAAAUAGGUUGGCCUAAAAGCAUAUUGUAAAAGACCUUAAUCAUAUUUCAGCUUCCCUUUGUAACCUGAAUUUGCCAACCAGUGAAGAUGUUGACCCGACAACACUCGUGAAAACCUUCUGCAUGGACAGCAUGAGAAUGUGUCCGUUAUGGAAACAUUCAAAAUCAAACUGUUUCUUUGAGGAUGUUGUUUAAGGAAUGGAUGGAGUGAGGGAGGGAGAGAGGAAGGAAGGAAGGAAGGAAGGAAGGAAGGAAGGAAGGGGCAGGAUAAUGUAGUAGUUCACCAGCCAGCCUAAAGUUUCUGGGUCGGAGCCCCAGGUUUCUGUAGGCAUCCAUGAGCAUGAUGCCUAACCCGUACCUGCUCAUUAGUUACGUCUAUCAAAAAGACAUUCCACUGGGAGACACUUUUAAUAAAAGUGUCUGUUAAAUGAGUAAAUAUUGGGAUGUGAUUAAGGGAUGUAGGAAGGAAGGAAGAAAGGAAGGAAAAUGAGUAUUGAGACAUUAUCUUCCCAAGAUAUUUGUUGCAGUGGUCUUAGAGGGGAGAUGGGUCCACACUCACUUGGAGCAGUUAAAGAGGCAGAUGCACAGGGUUGAAGGUCAUCGUUCGCUCCAUAAUAUUCUCAGUGUUCGUCCUCUCAGGACCUUCACGGCGGUCACGACUGCACCGAGCGCACAUUUUGAAACUGGUAGGAGGAAGUUCUCCUGCAACAGGGGGUGUACUCCCUUUAAUUAGAGAGAGAGAGGAGCGUAGAAGGAGGAGGAGAGAAUGAGGGUCUCAGGGUGGGAGGCCAGGGUGAGGGGGUUCACACACUAAACACUGGCUUCUCAUCACUGCAUGACUCACCCGGCCCGUGUGGAUGGGUGUGUGUUUGCCUGUGUGUGUGUAUGUGUGUGUGUGUGUGUGUGUGUGUCCGGGGAUAGUGCAACAUCGAGGGGCGUAAAAAAAGGAAAUGAUUGAAGAGAACAUGAUCGUUAUUCUUUUUUUAUUAAUAAUAAUAGCUGAUUCAUGGCUCAGGUCCACAGAUCUCUCAUUCUUUCUAAUAAAAGAAAAUAAAUACCUCUGGCAUACUUUUUAAAGCUAAGACUGAGGGGAGUGUGGCUUACACUCGGAUUCCCUGGAUUCGUGGUGUUCAUCGAGGAGAGGUAACAAUGUGUUCCAGGAAUCCACAAGUGCUCUGUUAUUAAGCCGUGGCCCGAUGCUGCACUUUGAAUAGUGCCAACGCUGCUCCAUGUGCGAGUGCUCUGGCCUGCUUCUCGUGACACCCUGCCAAAUGUGAACCAAAGCGGAGAGAAAGAAGUGACAUUUCCAUCGGAGGACAGGACGCAGAGAGCAGCGCGGAGGAGCUAUCGUACGGGGCCGCGGAGGAGACGGAGCCUCUGUCAGCCAAGGAGCACGUGGCUGUAAGACGCUUCUAACUUCAAUUGUGUUCAAUACGUCGGUGGUCCAAGAGGGUCACGGUCCCUGACCUGUGGUUCAGUACAGAGAAACGAUUGUGCUUUCUAAGCGAGAGCAAAGGUCAGAGCAGUUGCGGAUAGAGUAGUACUAUAUUUUUGACUCGACCAAGUUAAAAAGUGUUCAUAUGAAUCGGUUUGUCAAGUAGGUCGAGUGCGUUGUAGUUUGUGUUUUGGAGUUCUUAAGAGAGGCUACGGUGUUGGAACGGGCUGGCUGACCCCCCCUCCAGACUUGUUGUUGUGCUGCACUAAGCAGCUUAUUCUGACCAUCUUUAACUCCAUACUUGACCAUUUCGAAGCAGACACGUAAAUUGAACCCUGCCUAAUCCUAUACGGAAAAUGAACUAUUUAUAACCCCAUACCUAAAACAAACAGGCAUUUCUAAACGUUUGCUCUGGCUCCAGCGUACGGUUGCGCUCCAGCGGGCCCCAUCAGGUCACCUCAGCGAGGGUCCUGUCUCCAUGACCUCAUCACCAGCACCUCCGCCAAAUCUUGCAUUCUUUUUUUUCUUUCUUCAGAAAACCGCUUCGCUGAAGCAGUCCCUGAUGCCAGAAAUGUUGUUUUGGCAGAAGCCCCUCCAUACUGUAACUCCAUUGUGACCCUAAUUGCUCUAUGUGUCGGCCAUUUAGAUCCGGCAGCCUGUGGUGCUCACGCCCGACCGAGCGUGUAGAUAGAGCUGAUGUAUAAACAAUGUUUCAAGGCGAUGAGCGGCGUCUCGGCUCGGAUUGUUUGGUGUAAUAUGAUUGGCUAAUGGGCCUCAUAGACGAAUAGCAAUCCACAAAGGAAUAAAAUUACAUUAUCGUGUGGUUUAAUUCUCCCCCCCCCCCCCCCCAAAAAACAAAUUUUGAAUUCCACUUUCAAGCUCCAAAGAUGUAUUUGGCUUCUGGCUUCGCCUCGUUUUAUGGAAGAGUAAUUCUUAGAAAUAAGUAUUACAUUGUGAAUAUAUUGAUAUGUGAUUAAUAUUAUUAUUAUUUUAUUUGCGCUACUAGGGACUUCUUCCAAAAAAAUUAUAAUGUUCGUUUUUCCCCCAAUCUGUUUGUAUUAGAAUUGUAUUUAUAGCGAUAUUAGUUAUGGCGUGCCUACCAUCAGAAUAUACACAUAUAUUUAAUGGAAUCAUUAACAGGAACACAUUUCUUUUUCAAUAUAAUGGGAGACCGAUUAGGCUUCCUUAAAAAUAUUUUCAAGACCUUUUUAAGACCUGUCUCUAUCUGCUGACUUUGGCUACAGGACAGAGUAAACUACUGUUACUCUGUUGAAUGCAAUCACUGACGAAUGCCCAGCAACAAUUCAAUUAUUGCUCAAUUGUUGCAUAUUUUUUUGCAACACGGAGGACAAAGCCCUUCACAAACAGAGCCCGAUACAACAGUGUUUUUUGUGCGGGUGUGUUCUUAUUUUACUCGUGUGUAUUCAUCAGAAUGCUGCGUUUGAGCAGCGAGGCGCUGGCUGAAGCAUCUCUACGCUCUCCAACAUGUGUUCUGAAAUCGCUGCAGACGGACACAUAUAUUCACGGGCGCUGGGUGUACGUUUGAGUCGGUGGGUGGUUGGAGGGUGGGUGCGGACUGCGCAGGGCUGGGGGGGGAGUGGGAGGUGGGGGUGGGGUGUGUGGGGGUGGUUGAUGCGGCGCCAGGCCAGAAUCAAUUGGUGGUGUAAUGAGAUGGCCCUGCGCCAGGUAACCAUGGUGCUUCUUGUCUAGCGGUGCAGAGUUCAAAAUUAAACUGAAUGAAUGACGGGGAGGGAGGCGGGGGGGAGGAGGGGGAGGAGAGAGGGCGAGGGCGGAGGGAGGGAGGAGGGAGGAGGGAAAUGUGGUGAGAGGAGGCUGGCGGAGGAGCCACUGGGCGUUUUCUAAAGGCGUGCUAAAAACCCACUGGAGGCUUUUCUUCCGGAGAGAGCGGAUGAAAAGGUGCUAAAGCCCCGGUUCCCUUCAGCGAUUGUCUGGAGAACUUAUGACAGGUCGGAGUAAACGUAGGUGCCGGUUCUGGUGCAGUGAUCUACAAAGAGCGGUGCCCCGCACGCAGGCCGCACCCUCCCCUCCUGGCCCUCCCCCCCGCCUCACUAGGCCCACCCCC
ensembl:lncRNA